rnacentral:rRNA from 1 species
AGCGAACGUUAGCGGCAGGCUUAACACAUGCAAGUCGAGCGAGAAAGAGGGGCAACUCUUGAGUAAAGCGGCGGACGGGUGCGUAACACGUGGAUAAUCUGCCUUUUCGUGGGGAAUAACAGUCCGAAAGGAUUGCUAAUGCCGCAUGUGUCGGCGGGGACUCCGGUUCCUGACGAGAAAGGGGGCAUCGCAAGGUGCCCUCGCGAAAAGAUGAGUCCGCGGCCCAUCAGCUAGUUGGCGGGGUAACGGCCCACCAAGGCAAAGACGGGUAGCUGGUCUGAGAGGAUGACCAGCCACACUGGGACUGAGACACGGCCCAGACUCCUACGGGAGGCAGCAGUGGGGAAUAUUGGACAAUGGGCGAAAGCCUGAUCCAGCCAUGCCGCGUGAGUGAUGAAGGUCUUCGGAUCGUAAAGCUCUGUGGGAAGGGACGAAAAAAACCAACCUAAUACGUUGGGGCUUGACGGUACCUUCUUAGCAAGCACCGGCUAACUCCGCGCCAGCAGCCGCGGUAACAC